AUACGUAGGGAGCGAGCGUUGUCCGGAUUUACUGGGUGUAAAGGGUGCGUAGGCGGGACUGCAAGUCAGGCGUGAAAUACCGAGGCUCAACCUCGGGGCUGCGUUUGAAACUGUGGUUCUUGAGUGAAGUAGAGGCAGGCGGAAUUCCUAGUGUAGCGGUGAAAUGCGUAGAUAUUAGGAGGAACACCAGUGGCGAAGGCGGCCUGCUGGGCUUUAACUGACGCUGAUGCACGAAAGCAUGGGGAGC
rnacentral:rRNA from 1 species